UCCUCAUCCAGAGCGGUGGAGGGAACUGGCCCUGUGAAGCCGCGGCAACCGGUGGGGUGCACUUUCCCACGUCCGGUGCCAAUGCCAGCCCCCGAGAGGGGAACGAUGAGGA
rnacentral:ncRNA from 2 species